rnacentral:rRNA from 1 species
CGGAGGCUUGCAUAUGGGCAACGCCUGACGCAGCCACGCCGCGUGGGGGAUGAGCGCCUUCGUGUUGUACCCCUCUCUCCCCGGGCACGAUGCUGACGGACGCACCCAAAAGGAAACGCCUAACCCCGCGACAUCACCCCCCCCAUUAUUAAAGGCACGGGCCUUGCUUUGUCUUUAUGGGUGUAAAGUGCUCGUAAGCUAUUCGGUUUGUCGGGUGUGAAAUCCCAGGGGCUCAACUCCCGAAGGGACCCCCAAACUCUACUGGUUUGACUUCAGUAAAAAAAGGUAGAAUUCCCUUUGGUGGGGGGAAAUUUAUUUACUUUAGGAGGAAAACCAGUGGCGAAAGGCGGUCUUUUCGCCGGUACUGAACCUUAAGCACCGAAACCUUGGGAACCAAACG